rnacentral:rRNA from 1 species
AGAAUCAACGCUGGCGGCGUGCCUAACACAUGCAAGUCGAACGAGAAAGUGGAGCAAUCCAUGAGUAAAGUGGCGCACGGGUGAGUAACACGUGACUAACCUACCCUUGAGUGGGGGAUAACCUAGAGAAAUCUGGGCUAAUACCGCAUAAUACCUUCGGGUCAAAGGAGCAAUUCGCUUAAGGAGGGGGUCGCGGCCGAUUAGUUAGUUGGCGGGGUAAUGGCCCACCAAGACUAUGAUCGGUAUCCGGCCUGAGAGGGCGCACGGACACACUGGAACUGAAACACGGUCCAGACUCCUACGGGAGGCAGCAGUGGGGAAUUUUGCGCAAUGGGGGAAACCCUGACGCAGCAACGCCGCGUGGAGGAUGAAGUCCCUUGGGACGUAAACUCCUUUCGAUCGGGACGAUAAUGACGGUACCGAGAGAAGAAGCCCCGGCUAACUUCGCGCCAGCAGCCGC